UUUUUGUAUCAUGGUCUGGAAGACUCUCCAUAAAGGGGGAAACCAAGGAGGACUGCUGGACAGACCCUUGGGCUGGAAGUCCUGAGUUUGAAUCCUGCUCUGCUCUUUGCAAGCUGAGUGACUUUGAGCCAGCCACUUUUUCUCUUUGGGUCCUUCAUUCUCUCAAAGGGAAAACCAGGGAGUGCUUUCCUUUGGGCAGUGGGGAGGGGGCAAGACCCCUCAGAAUGGUGUGGAAGGUAGGAGACCAAACAUACCAAAAUAUCUGUAAAACCCACCAAGUUCCCAGAGCCAGGGAAGAAGCCCUGCCCGAGAGGAUCUUGAGACCGCUCCCAGCUCCUGGAAGGCUCGCUGUACUUUGGGGCUUGGCAGAGGCCUUGGGGUGGACAGUGUAGCUUUAUAACUUUGCACAAUUGCCCACAGAGCUCUGCCGGGGAAAUUAUUCCCAGAUGUGAAAAGUCUGUCAACAGAAUUUGGAAAGAAAAGCAGCUCUGAAGGGGAGGUUGCAGGUUGACGCUCAGACAUCUCUGCUUUUAUUUUGCAAGGAUUUCAGCCUCCAGUAUAUAGAGGCGCUCUGUCCUCGGAGCCCCAGAGGAGGCUGCCACAUCUCCCCCAGGGCUCUGGGCAUCGCCAAGGGAUCAGGGUGUGUCUUUCCUAAUGGGAUCAGCUUGAGCCGCCAUUGCCAUGCCAGGCUGUUUUCUCCUACUAUUAACCACCAUUCCGUACUUCCUGAGAGAACCCCUUCCUCUGAAUUCUGCCCUUCUAUUGAAGACAAAACAAGAGAAAUUGCAGACCUAUCUUGGACAGCAAACACAGUAUUCCCUGCUGAAGGCUGCUCCCUCACCUCUCCCAGGGCUCCCACUUCCUCAGCUCAACCCUGUUGGACCAUUGCUUUCAUGUCCAUGAUUUUAAUAACUUUGCAUACUCUUCCCUUGGCCAUCGUUGGUUCCCAAAAGCCUUCCUGUGGGUUUCUGAAUUCCUUUAGUUGCCCUUUCCUCUGGCACCAAACCCAGCGUUCCAUUCACAGCUUAUACAGCACAGUGUGUUCUUGUCUCCUCCAAUGGAUGGCUGAGCACUCUGUGGUCAGGCUUUUGCUACCAAAAAGACGCAGUUGUGGAGGUCUGGGUCUAAAUGGAACUUUGUCCUCCUGUGACUGCUUCAAAGGGUGUGAGCAGCCCAGUGACUUUCCUCAGAUAAUCUUCAAAGAUUUUCCAGAAUGGCUGGAAGCAGGCACUGCUGCAUCCAGAGUUUACUAGAGGUCUAGAUUUCCCAUGAUCCUCUCAUCUUUGUCAAACUGAUGGGUGCAAAGGGAAAUCUUGGAGUUAUUUUCAUUUGUAUUUCUCUUCUUUUUAAUGAUCUGGAACAUUCUUUUCCAUGGAAAUGUUGAUUGUUUGCAUCACAAAUUGGGCCUCAUGUUUUGGGGUUGUUUCUCCACAUAUCUUGGAUGUUGGGCGUUUCCCAGUGAUGUUAUUUGGCCAUUUCAUACUCUUUUCUUGGAAGAGAUACUGAAGUAGUUGGCCAUCUCCUUCUCCAGCUCAUUUAUCAGAUGAGAAAACUGAAGCAAACAGAGUAAAGUGACAAAGUAUCUAAGACUAGAUUUGAACUCGGGUCCUCCUGACUCCAAGCCUGGUGCUCUCUCUUCUGUGCCUCCUGGUUGCCCUCCCCAGUGAUAUCUGAUGCGAAAAUAUUUCCUUCAUCAGUUCCUAUUCUAGCUGCAUUGAUGUCAUUUACCCAAAAGCUUUUACAAUGACAAUCAAAAUCUAGUGUGUCUGCUGGGGUUUCCUUUAUGUUUAUUCAUUCACCCUCAAUUCAACACCCGUUUUGAGUAGAUACUCUUUGUAAGGAAAGGGACAAAAAUGAGGCAAUCUGCCCUGGAGGAGUUGGUCUUGUAAAGGGGUGAGAGGAAGACAGACACCUGUUGCACAGGCAAAUCAAUGGAAGAAUUUAUAAAGUAUAUAAGUGUGUAUAUAUAUGUAUAUGUAUAUAUAAUAUCUAGAAAUGAAUUUCCAGAGGGAGGGAGAUGAUGCUGACACUGAGGAGGAGAGCAGGAAAGACCUUGUAUAGGAAGAUGGCCUUGGAAUUGUGCUUUUAAGGAAGUUAGGAGUCCUUUAAAACAGUAGUGAGGAGAGAGCAUCUUCUGCACAGGGGGACUAUUUGUGUUGUCUGUUGGGAAGGGGCAGCAAGCUAGUUUGACUGGAAUGGGGAGAUCUAAUCGGUACCCUCUUUUCUCCCCUCCUUCUCUCUCCUCUCCUCUUCUCUUUUAAAAAAAAAAACUCUUAACUUCUACCUUAGAAUCAAUACUGUGUAUUGGUUCCAAGGUAGAAGGGCAGUAAGGGUUAGGCAAUGGGGGUUAAGUGACUUGCUCAGGGUCACACACCUAGGAAGUGUCUGAGGCUAGAUUUGAACCCAGGACCUCCCAUCUCUAGGCCUGGCUUUCAAUUUACUGAGGGACCCAGUCCCCCCACCCUCACCUUUCUCUUUUUCUGAAUGAUGUGCUGUAAUAGAUUAUUCAUUAUUGGCAUGGGAUAGAAGGAGGAUGGCCAGAGUGGAGGGGGUAGGUUUUGGAAUUUAUUUUAUUUCAUGUUUAAGAAAGUGAUUUAAUCAUCUUGAUAGGGUCCAUAUUGCUUGUGUGGAGUUUGCUAAUCGAACUGCUAUACUGUUUGCAAAGAGGGAUAAUGCCAUGUUUUUAUCUUUAAUUUCUCUGUUUUACUGUUAUGGCUAAUUGCACUGGGACUAUGUGAAAUGCUGCUGAGGAGGCAGGACCCUCUUGCUUUAUUCCUGUGCUGAUUGAGAACAUUUCAAGUGUUUCUCCAUUGAAAGAAGUCUAGCCCUUCAUUGUAGAUGCUGGCUUUUGAGCUCGUUAAAGGGGGCUCUCUCAUGCCCAUCCCUUUUCCUUGGGAUUUGUAAAAACAAAAAGGAUGUCGUCUUUUGUCCCUGGUUUCUCCUGCUUUCUCUAUUGGCAUCAUUCCAAGGUUGUUUGGUAGCUGAAGACGAAUGAUGCUGGUACUGAACUGUCUUCUCCUCCCUGCCAGUCCAGCUUGGCCAUAGCUCUUUGAUCCUUUAGAUUGAUUGCUACGAUCCCUUUGUUCAUUUUAUUUCUACAGUCAGCAGUGAAGGCAGUCCGCGGUCCUCUCUGCCUCCCUCGCUCUUUCCUGGGCUCUCAGGAUAACAGGUGGGCGGUAUAGAUUGUGGCUGGAUGCUUCUUUCUUGCUCCUGUUUUUGCUGCCUGGUUCUAAUCACUUUCUUCAAGUGCGUAAUAGAAUUCUCCUGCAAAUAGAAACCCAGUUAUGCUUUGGACCCCGUCGCCCAUAGAACAAGCCCCUUCCUAGAUCCCCUUCCUGAGGUCUGAUCUCUUACUGUUGCUGGGAGCUGAUGGAGAAGGGCCCCGACUCAUCCUGGUUGGCUCUGUUGGCAGGACGUGUUUACAGAAGAUCGUUUUCAUGGCCAUUAUUAAGCCGAAAUGAGAGACGGUUCACAAAAUAAAAGACAAUGUCAGGGGGAGAGUAAGGAUGCC
ensembl:lncRNA